rnacentral:rRNA from 1 species
UACAGAGGGGGCAAGCGUUGUUCGGAAUUACUGGGCGUAAAGGGCGCGUAGGCGGCCUACUAAGUCGAACGUGAAAUCCCCAGGCUCAACCUGGGAACUGCAUCCGAUACUGGAUGGCUUGAAUUCGGGAGAGGGAUGCAGAAUUCCAGGUGUAGCGGUGAAAUGCGUAGAUAUCUGGAGGAAUACCGGUGGCGAAGGCGGCAUCCUGGACCGACAUUGACGCUGAGGAGCGAAAGCCAGGGGAGCAAACGGG